GCGCGCGCCGCCCGCGGUCGACCUGUCAGUCCCUCCGUCCCGCAGAGCUACCUCACGCGGCCCCGGACACAGCCUGGCGGCCACGGCCGGCCCCGUCAGUCGCACACGCCGGCUGCCCAGCCCACUGUCCCGCACAGGCCCGGCCGCAGCAGUUCCCUCAAGCCCGCUUCCGGAGCGCCGCCCGCGCAGCGACCGGGAGGAGAGCAGCCACUCCCUAGACUCACCCCUGCAAUCUAGCUGCCCCUGUCACAGAACACCGCCCAAACUAAAGACACCUGCGGUCACAGUGGAGCCUGUCUGACGGAUGUUGAGCCAGGCAGAGCCAGACAGAGCAGGACAACGUACUACACGUCAGAGAAAAAAAAUUGAGGCAUGGAGAGAUUAAGAGGCAUGCUCGUGGACACAUAGCUAAGAGGUGGCAGAGAUGGGAUUCAAACCCAUCCAGAGUCCGUGCUAUGUUGCCUUCCAUGUAGAUUCUACGGGCACCAGGUACAGAGUGGAAGAGGAAGGGAAUGGAAACACUUGCAAGAAGAUGUCUGUAUAAUGGGAAUCCUGGGUGGAAAAGUGGAACAAACCAAGAUGAGUAUAUAAAGAUGUGAAUGCGCUCAGAACAAUCUUUUCAGUAGCUGGAGCCAUGUGUUACUGUGGCUCUCAGAAGUCCUGAUCCUUUCAAUGACCUAGGAGACCAGAAGUAGUGUAACGCUGGCUAUGACCACAAGCAGACCAAUCCAAGUUUCUAGAAAGGGGGCAAGGACAGGGUACAUCAAAGGGACACAUUUCAGCUGUGCUCUUUUUUACCCUUGACUAACCAAAUUUUUUAAAUUGUCAAAAAUCUGUAAGUCACAUCAUGCUUGAGUUAAAUUUUUUGAAGGAGCAGAGAUGGAGUAGAAAGGUGUAACAGUAUUACAUGCGAGAAGUGAAUGAGCAAAAUAUAGAUACAAGAGCAAGCAAAGACUCUCAGGAGAAAUCCCCGGAGGCUGAGCAGAAAGGUGUACAGCAGAGCCCCAUGAUGGUGGCAGCCUCCCAUAAACUGGACCUAAAGUCCCCCAUGAAGUAAAACCACCAGUUACCACCCUUCACCCUCUAUGACAAAAACUUACUCUUCACAGACCUUUGCAUCAGAUCAGUCAAUGAAUUCAUGCUUUAAUCAUCACUGUACUCCAAACAUGUAGCAAUGAAAGUGCUCCAUGCAAGAAGGGGCAACCUGAAGCCAGGGGCUGUGUUAGCGUGGGCUGAGCUGGGUUAGAAGACUUGCUCCAAGACAGGAGGAAUGAGCAGAGAAGUGGAGAGCAAAGAGGAGGAAAAGGAAAUGAUACACAGACAAAAACUACUUCCCAUUCAAAAGGGUUUACAAACAAAUUCCAAAAUAUAUGAGGAAAAUGGGUUAGAAGAACUGCCAACAAAAUAAUUAGUACAUGAAUUCAC